GUCACGAUGCCAGAGUGGUUAAUGGGUUAGACUUGAAUAGCUUCGAGCUUGUCAGGUAUCUAAUGGUUUCGGCCGCGUAGGUUCAAAUCCUGCUCGUGACG
rnacentral:tRNA from 2 species